CCCCAUGGAGCUUUAAACCCAACAGCACCCGUUUAUUUUCAUCCUCACAUAAGUUAGGUUAUGCCUGUUUGGUUUUAGGUUGGGGUGACCACGGAGUAUAAAACAACCUCCAUGAAAAAAGGACCAAAAAUCCUUAUAGAGAAAGACAUUUCUAAAAUUAAUAAAUUAAUUUUUAAUGAUCCGAUAUUCGAUCAACGAACCAAGUUACCCUGGGGAUAACAGCGCAAUCCACUUCAAGAGCUCCUAUCGACAAGUGGGUUUACGACCUCGAUGUUGGAUCAGGGUAUCCUAGUGGUGCAGCAGCUACUAACGGUUCGUUUGUUCAACGAUUAAAACCCU
rnacentral:rRNA from 1 species